AGUGAACGCUGGCGGUAGGCCUAACACAUGCAAGUCGAACGGCAGCACAGUAAGAGCUUGCUCUUACGGGUGGCGAGUGGCGGACGGGUGAGGAAUACAUCGGAAUCUACUUUUUCGUGGGGGAUAACGUAGGGAAACUUACGCUAAUACCGCAUACGACCUACGGGUGAAAGCAGGGGAUCUUCGGACCUUGCGCGAUUGAAUGAGCCGAUGUCGGAUUAGCUAGUUGGCGGGGUAAAGGCCCACCAAGGCGACGAUCCGUAGCUGGUCUGAGAGGGUGAUCAGCCACACGGGAACUGAGACACGGUCCAGACUCCUACGGGAGGCAGCAGUGGGGAAUAUUGGACAAUGGGCGCAAGCCUGAUCCAGCCAUACCGCGUGGGUGAAGAAGGCCUUCGGGUUGUAAAGCCCUUUUGUUGGGAAAGAAAAGCAGCAGGUUAAUACCCCGCUGUUCUGACGGUACCCAAAGAAUAAGCACCGGCUAACUUCGUG
rnacentral:rRNA from 1 species